ACGCUGAAGCUUGGUGCUUGCACUGGGUGGAUGAGUGGCGAACGGGUGAGUAAUACGUGAGUAACCUGCCCUUGACUCUGGGAUAAGCCUGGGAAACUGGGUCUAAUACUGGAUAUGACCUCCUGUCGCAUGGUGGGGGGUGGAAAGGGUUUGUACUGGUUGUGGAUGGGCUCACGGCCUAUCAGCUUGUUGGUGGGGUAAUGGCCUACCAAGGCGACGACGGGUAGCCGGCCUGAGAGGGUGACCGGCCACACUGGGACUGAGACACGGCCCAGACUCCUACGGGAGGCAGCAGUGGGGAAUAUUGCACAAUGGGCGCAAGCCUGAUGCAGCGACGCCGCGUGAGGGAUGAUGGCCUUCGGGUUGUAAACCUCUUUCAGCACGGAAGAAGCGAAAGUGACGGUACGUGCAGAAGAAGCGCCGGCUAACUACGUGCCAGCAGCCGCGGUAAUACGUAGGGCGCAAGCGUUGUCCGGAAUUAUUGGGCGUAAAGAGCUCGUAGGCGGUUUGUCGCGUCUGCUGUGAAAGCCCGGGGCUUAACCCCGGGUGUGCAGUGGGUACGGGCAGACUUGAGUGCAGUAGGGGAGACUGGAACUCCUGGUGUAGCGGUGAAAUGCGCAGAUAUCAGGAAGAACACCGAUGGCGAAGGCAGGUCUCUGGGCUGUUACUGACGUUGAGGAGCGAAAGCAUGGGGAGCGAACAGGAUUAAAUACCCUGGUAGUCCAUGCCGUAAACGUUGGGCACUAGGUGUGGGGGACAUUCCACGUUUUCCGCGCCGUAGCUAAC
rnacentral:rRNA from 1 species